GGCAUUGGGCCGCUAUACAUGCAAGUAGAACGCUGAGGAUUGGUGCUUGCACUAAUCCAAAGAGUUGCGAACGGGUGAGUAACGCGUAGGUAACCUACCUCAUAGCGGGGGAUAACUAUUGGAAACGAUAGCUAAUACCGCAUGAUACUAGAGUACACAUGUACUUAAGUUAAAAGGAGCAAUUGCUUCACUAUGAGAUGGACCUGCGUUGUAUUAUCUAGUUGGUGAGGUAACGGCUCACCAAGGCGACGAUACAUAGCCGACCUGAGAGGGUGAUCGGCCACACUGGGACUGAGACACGGCCCAGACUCCUACGGGAGGCAGCAGUAGGGAAUCUUCGGCAAUGGACGGAAGUCUGACCGAGCAACGCCGCGUGAGUGAAGAAGGUUUUCGGAUCGUAAAGCUCUGUUGUUAGAGAAGAACGGUAAUGGGAGUGGAAAAUCCAUUACGUGACGGUAACUAACCAGAAAGGGACGGCUAACUACGUGCCAGCAGCCGCGGUAAUACGUAGGUCUCGAGCGUUGUCCGGAUUUAUUGGGCGUAAAGCGAGCGCAGGCGGUUCUAUAAGUCUGAAGUAAAAGGCAGUGGCUCAACCAUUGUAUGCUUUGGAAACUGUAGAACUUGAGUGCAGAAGGGGAGAGUGGAAUUCCAUGUGUAGCGGUGAAAUGCGUAGAUAUAUGGAGGAACACCGGUGGCGAAAGCGGCUCUCUGGUCUGUAACUGACGCUGAGGCUCGAAAGCGUGGGGAGCAAACAGGAUUAGAUACUCUGGUAGUCCACGCCGUAAACGAUGAGUGCUAUGUGUUAGGCCCUUUCCGGGGCUUAGUGCCGCAGCUAACGCAUUAAGCACUCCGCCUGGGGAGUACGACCGCAAGGUUGACACUCAAAGGAAUUGACGGGGGCCCGCACAAGCGGUGGAGCAUGUGGUUUUAUUCGAAGCAACGCGAAGAACCUUACCAGGUCUUGACAUCCCUCUGACCGUCCUAGAGAUAGGAUUUUCCU
rnacentral:rRNA from 1 species